rnacentral:rRNA from 1 species
AUUGAACGCUGGCGGCAUGCCUUACACAUGCAAGUCGAACGGUAACAGGUCUUCGGAUGCUGACGAGUGGCGCACGGGUGAGUAAUACAUCGGAACGUGCCCGAUCGUGGGGGAUAACGGAGCGAAAGCUUUGCUAAUACCGCAUACGAUCUACGGAUGAAAGCAGGGGACCGCAAGGCCUUGCGCGGACGGAGCGGCCGAUGGCAGAUUAGGUAGUUGGUGGGAUAAAAGCUUACCAAGCCGACGAUCUGUAGCUGGUCUGAGAGGACGACCAGUCACACUGGGACUGAGACACGGCCCAGACUCCUACGGGAGGCAGCAGUGGGGAAUUUUGGACAAUGGGCGAAAGCCUGAUCCAGCCAUGCCGCGUGCAGGAUGAAGGCCUUCGGGUUGUAAACUGCUUUUGUCCGGAACGAAAAGACUCUUUCUAAUAAAGAGGGUCCAUGACGGUACCGGAAGAAUAAGCACCGGCUAACUACGUG